rnacentral:lncRNA from 1 species
AGGGAGAUCAUAUCAAUUCAAGGUCAAGCUCAUAACCAAUCUGAGGUCAAGCUCAAGGCCAAACCAAGGUGAGAUCAUACCAAUCUGAGGAGAAAUCAAGUUCAAGUUGAGGCAAAAAUCAAGGUCGAGCUGAAGAAAAAUCAAAUCUGAGCAGAGGAAAAAAUCAAAGCUGAUCAGAGCCCAGAACAAGGCUAACCAGAGCAGAUAAAGGUCAAUCAGAGCUUAGAUCUAGG